rnacentral:rRNA from 1 species
GACGAACGCUGGCGGCGCGCUUAACACAUGCAAGUCGAGCGAGAACCUAGGCUUCGGCCUAGGGGACAGCGGCGAACGGGUGAGUAACACGUGGGUAAUCUGCCCUCGACAUCGGGAUAGCCCGGGGAAACCCGGAUUAAUACCGAAUGGCCCAUCCGCUUUUCGGAGCGGCUGGAAAAGGUAGCUUCGGCCUCCGGUCGAGGAGGAGCCCGCGGCGGAUUAGCUUGUUGGUGAGGUAAUGGCUCACCAAGGCGACGAUCCGUAGCUGGUCUGAGAGGACGAUCAGCCACACUGGGACUGAGACACGGCCCAGACUCCUACGGGAGGCAGCAGUGGGGAAUCUUGCGCAAUGGGCGAAAGCCUGACGCAGCGACGCCGCGUGCGGGAAGAAGGCCU